rnacentral:rRNA from 1 species
UCAGGAUGAACGCUAGCUACAGGCUUAACACAUGCAAGUCGAGGGGCAUCAGGAAGAAAGCUUGCUUUCUUUGCUGGCGACCGGCGCACGGGUGAGUAACACGUAUCCAACCUGCCCUUUACUCGGGGAUAGCCUUUCGAAAGAAAGAUUAAUACCCGAUAGCAUAAUGAUUCCGCAUGGUUUCAUUAUUAAAGGAUUCCGGUAAAGGAUGGGGAUGCGUUCCAUUAGGUUGUUGGUGAGGUAACGGCCCACCAAGCCUUCGAUGGAUAGGGGUUCUGAGAGGAAGGUCCCCCACAUUGGAACUGAGACACGGUCCAAACUCCUACGGGAGGCAGCAGUGAGGAAUAUUGGUCAAUGGGCGCUAGCCUGAACCAGCCAAGUAGCGUGAAGGAUGAAGGCUCUAUGGGUCGUAAACUUCUUUUAUAUAAGAAUAAAGUGCAGUAUGUAUACUGUUUUGUAUGUAUUAUAUGAAUAAGGAUCGGCUAACUCCGUGCCAGCAGCCGCGGUAAUACGGAGGAUCCGAGCGUUAUCCGGAUUUAUUGGGUUUAAAGGGAGCGUAGGUGGACUGGUAAGUCAGUUGUGAAAGUUUGCGGCUCAACCGUAAAAUUGCAGUUGAUACUGUCAGUCUUGAGUACAGUAGAGGUGGGCGGAAUUCGUGGUGUAGCGGUGAAAUGCUUAGAUAUCACGAAGAACUCCGAUUGCGAAGGCAGCUCACUGGACUGCAACUGACACUGAUGCUCGAAAGUGUGGGUAUCAAACAGGAUUAGAUACCCUGGUAGUCCACACAGUAAACGAUGAAUACUCGCUGUUUGCGAUAUACAGUAAGCGGCCAAGCGAAAGCAUUAAGUAUUCCACCUGGGGAGUACGCCGGCAACGGUGAAACUCAAAGGAAUUGACGGGGGCCCGCACAAGCGGAGGAACAUGUGGUUUAAUUCGAUGAUACGCGAGGAACCUUACCCGGGCUUAAAUUGCAGUGGAAUGAUGUGGAAACAUGUCAGUGAGCAAUCACCGCUGUGAAGGUGCUGCAUGGUUGUCGUCAGCUCGUGCCGUGAGGUGUCGGCUUAAGUGCCAUAACGAGCGCAACCCUUAUCUUUAGUUACUAACAGGUUAUGCUGAGGACUCUAGAGAGACUGCCGUCGUAAGAUGUGAGGAAGGUGGGGAUGACGUCAAAUCAGCACGGCCCUUACGUCCGGGGCUACACACGUGUUACAAUGGGGGGUACAGAAGGCAGCUAGCGGGUGACCGUAUGCUAAUCCCAAAAUCCUCUCUCAGUUCGGAUCGAAGUCUGCAACCCGACUUCGUGAAGCUGGAUUCGCUAGUAAUCGCGCAUCAGCCACGGCGCGGUGAAUACGUUCCCGGGCCUUGUACACACCGCCCGUCAAGCCAUGGGAGCCGGGGGUACCUGAAGUACGUAACCGCAAGGAUCGUCCUAGGGUAAAAC